ACACUGAAGAGAGUAAACCUACACAGCACAAGAAGAGGAGCAUCUCUCCAUGAAUGCUGCACACCUUCAGUCACUGCAGGACAGUUUGAUGAAGUCUGGCAACAAACAGAACCACAAAUACAUGUCCUGCAUCAUCACGUGUACGCUGCACGCCUGCCACUUUCAUCAGAUGGACAGAAUUCACAUCAUCCCAGCAAAUACUGUUGUAUGUGACAGGAGAGACAUUAUC